GAGGAAGUAAAAGUCGUAACAAGGUCUCCGUUGGUGAACCAGCGGAGGGAUCAUUACAGAGUUGCAAAACUCCCUAAAACCAUUGUGAACCGACCCCCUAAAACCGUUUGCCUCGGCGGGCGGCACGGGCGCGUCCUGGACCUCCUUCGGGGGGCUCCUGUGGCACCCCGGCCGCUAUAAAGCCCGCCGUGGCCGAAAACCAAACUCUUGUUUUUAAACUUCUGGCCUCUCUGAGUUAACUGUACUUUAAAUAAGUCAAAACUUUCAACAACGGAUCUCUUGGUUCUGGCAUCGAUGAAGAACGCAGCGAAAUGCGAUAAGUAAUGUGAAUUGCAGAAUUCAGUGAAUCAUCGAAUCUUUGAACGCACAUUGCGCCCGCCAGUAUUCUGGCGGGCAUGCCUGUUCGAGCGUCAUUUCAACCAUCAGGCCCCCGGGCUUGUGUUGGGGACCUGCGGCUGCCCGCAGGCCCUGAAAGACAGUGGCGGUCCCGCUGUAGCACCGAGCGUAGUAACUUAAAAAACACCUCGCUAAGGCUGCUCCGGCGGGCUUCCGGCCGUAAAACCCCCCAAUCUUUUUUGCAAGGUUUGACCUCGGAUCAGGUAGGAAUACCCGCUGAACUUAAGCAUA
rnacentral:rRNA from 1 species